rfam:Gorilla gorilla gorilla genomic chromosome, chr5, whole genome shotgun sequence
GCUUGCUGUGACAGUGCAUAUACUAAAAUUGGAAUGAUAUAGAGAUUAGCAUAACUCCUGCAUAAGGAUGAUAUGCAAAUUUAUGAAGCUUCUUAAGUGUAA